ensembl:lncRNA
GCACGAUGCCAAACAGACAGAGAUGGCAGAAAAUUAAAGAAAAACUGAAGGAGGCAGCGAAAUUGACAGCUUUCUUAUCAACAUGGGUGAAAAAGAUCCUCAGAGAGCUCUUUGCCAUGAGGUGCCAUGUUCAACUUCCAGUGACCAGUAUGAGAGAUGCCUCCUCCACUUGUGUCCUCUUUCCUCAGCCUGGUUAUUACAUUCCCUGACUGUGUCACUUCUCUGGAAACCCAUUUAGCAGUGAAAUAUGGACCAGCAUGUUUGCUUAUGUUGCCUCGCAGCAAAAACAAUCUCAGACUGUGGGAUUGGUUUCCCUCAGUGAGGAUGUGCCAAUUCCAUUCAACAGCCUGGUUCCCCAUGUGAGAAGCCAGACCACC